GUAUUCUUGGUGCUUAAACCUCACUACACUUCUGACUGUUGAAAAGGAAGGUUUUCAGACAGGAUGUGUGUCCUAGGCUCCUACUGAAUAGUAAAAACUGUGUGACCUUCGAAAUUAUCAGUGUUCUAGCUUUCUGAGGAUUUGAGUUGUGGGCAAUUUCCAAUACUGCUUAUGGACCAGCUAGCUUGAACACCUUCUUGAUGGGCAGGAGCCUGACAUUAAAAGAAGAUGCACAUAAAACAAAUCUAAAAAAUAAAUUUUCCCUCAGUAUGUAUAGGACCUUUAGCAGACACAUUUUCAUAUUUUCAUGUAAACUACAUACAGCCUCCCAUAUACUUCAAGAUAUUUUCUAGAUGUGUUUUAAUGCCUAAUGCAUGUAAACAUUUUGUAAAUGAUGGUUAGGGUAUAUUUUUAGGGAUUAGGAACAAAGGAAAAAGUCUUUAGAUGUACUGUCCAGAUACAAUUAAUUUAUGUAUAAUUUUUAUUUUAAGUUGUUUAAAUUCACACAUCUCACAGAUAAGGAGAUCCUACUAUGUGUUAUAUGUGCUCAUAUAUACAUUAUGAAUGUGAAUGUAUUUUGUGACCUAUAUGUAUUUAAGACUAUCAACAUGAAAAAGUAAGCCUCGGUGUGUGAUGGUUGUCACUUGACAACAUUGGUUGUCAAUUUGACCCAUCUGGGAAGAUGGAACCUCGAAAGAAGAACUGGCCAUUGGUGACCUGAUCACAUCUGUGAGGAUAUUCUUCUUGAAUGCUAAUUGGUGUAGACUCAGCCUACCAUUGAGGGAAACCGAGGCACCACACGUCCAGAAACUGGAGACAUGAACUGCAGCAGAGACCACAGAGGAACACUGCUUACUGGUUUGUUCUGCAAAGCUUGUUCAGCCUGCUUUCUUACACAGCCCAGGACCACUUGCCCAAGGUUAGCACUGCCCACAACAUGCUGGGCCCUCCCACAUCAAUCACACUGAUCAAGGAAAUGCCACCUCGGACUUUGCAUACACAAUAAGCUGGUGAAGGCAUUAUCUCAGUUGAGGUUCUUUCUUCCUGUAUGACCCAAGCUUGUGUCAAGUUGUCAAAAACUAAUGAGCACGGUGUCUGUGUAGUGAAAGAAGUGAUGAAAAGUCAGUUUCCUAAAGCAGUUUCCCCAGCAUUUUUACUUCGCACCAACUGCCCAUGCGUGUAAACCCAGACAACUUCUCUGGGAGGCAACCCAUGUUCAUUAACUCAAGUGACUUAACACAUCACGUUGACUAGUGUUCUGAUAUUAGUUUCCAAUUCCCAAUAAUAGUUGUCCAAUGCAUGGAUCAAUGAAUAAACCAGAAUUUUGAAUUUGA